UUUCCUGUGUUGCAUACCUAUUGCGAGGGCAUUCGGUUGGCUAAAAUUGUCCCAUCUCCGCCUCGCGUCGGCGCUCCGUGCGGGCGUACGUUGCGGGGUGGAUCUCRCGGCAUCCGUUGUGUUUCGCGCCGCAUUCACCUAACUUGGUGUUUGGGUAGGCGACCCAUGACGUGAUGCGCGUUGUCUCGGGUACGGAACAUCGGGUGGGUUSGAGGCACUGUCCUUCGAUCGCCACACAAAUGCGUUCUACGCUUUAUGCGAACGACGGCCGCACACGGGCUUCGGCGGAGCACUCGCUGCUCGGUCGGAGCCGUGUCGGCGUCGGUGAGGGAUGCUACCUGGUGAUCCU
rnacentral:misc_RNA from 1 species